AUGUGCAUGACAUUCUUUCAACCCCUGUGAAUCCCAUACACUUACAAUGCAAAAAAUGCAUCAACUCAAUUCUAAAUGAAGGGUGCAGCCAAUUGUGUUAAAUAUUGCAAUUUGCAUAAUUCCGCGCGUCAAUGUUUGCUUGAAUGUAGAAAUGUACUUGGGUAUACACCUUGGUACAUCAAGUUUGUUCAUGUUGGUGUAGUUACUAUGUAAUCCCGAUUCCAUGCCUGAUUAUCUGGAUGUGGAUAGUACCAAUUCACAUUCCCCAUCGCCCCUCCGAGCACUCCGGCAACUAAUAGGAACUCACUGCCGCCUAACAUAAGCCCUGUGAG
rnacentral:misc_RNA from 1 species